UUUAACUGAGCGUUCAGUUACUUGACGUAGACCCGAAACCGGGCGACCUACCCAUGAGCAGGAUGAAGCGAAAGUAAAAUUUCGUGGAGGUCCGAACCCACGAGCGUUGAAAAGCUCGGGGAUGACUUGUGGGUAGCGGUGAAAUUCCAAUCGAGCCCGGAGAUAGCUGGUUCUCCCCGAAAUAGCUUUAGGGCUAGCCUCAAGGUGAGAGAUACGGAGGUAGAGCACUGAAUGUCCUAGGGGGUAUUGCACCUACCGAAGACUAUCAAACUCCGAAUGCCGUCAUCUUAUACUUGGGAGUCAGACUGUGGGUGAUAAGAUUCAUAGUCGAAAGGGCAACAGCCCAGAUCGUCAGCUAAGGUCCCUAAAUGUAAGUUAAGUGGUAAAGGAUGUGGGAUUGCACAGACAACCAGGAUGUUGGCUUAGAAGCAGCCACUCAUUCAAAGAGUGCGUAAUAGCUCACUGGUCGAGUGAUCCUGCGCCGAAGAUUUCCGGGGCUAAAACUUACUACCGAAGCUACGGCAUCAGUAAUGAUGGGUAGGGGAGCUUCCCAUACGGGUUGAAGCAUGACCGUAAGGACAUGUGGACAGUAUGGGAGUGAGAAUGUUGGCAUGAGUAGCGAGAUGUGGGUGAGAAUCCCACAGGCCGUAAACCCAAGGUUUCCAGGGGAAGGUUCGUCCGCCCUGGGUUAGUCGGGACCUAAGCUGAGGCCGAAAGGCGUAGGUGAUGGACAACAGGUUGAUAUUCCUGUACUACCGAUAACCGUUUGAGAGAUGGGAUGACACAGUAGGAUAAGCUAAGCACACUGUUGGUUAUGUGUGCCCAAGCAUUGAGGCAGUCAAAGUAGGCAAAUCCGCUUUGAUAAUGCUGGGAUGUGAUGGGGAGCGAAAUUUAGUAGCGAAGUAGCUGAUUUCACACUGUCAAGAAAAGUCUCUAUCGAGGUUAAAGGUACCCGUACCGCAAACCGACACAGGUGGGUGAGGAGAGUAUCCUAAGGCUAGCGAGAGAACUGUUGUUAAGGAACUCGGCAAAAUGACCCCGUAACUUAGGGAUAAGGGGUGCCACCAUCAGGUGGCCGCAGAGAAUAGGCCCAAGCGACUGUUUACCAAAAACAUAGGUUUCUGCUAAGUCGCAAGACGAUGUAUAGGAGCUGACGCCUGCCCGGUGCUGGAAGGUUAAGGGGAUCUGUUAGAG
rnacentral:rRNA from 1 species